GGGGUUGUGGCUCAGUGGUAGAGCGCUUGCAUAGCAUGUAUGAGGCACUGGGUUCGAUCCCCAGUGCCA
rfam:Ictidomys tridecemlineatus contig001468, whole genome shotgun sequence.